AACGCACCUUGCGCCCUUUGGUAUUCCGAGGGGCAUGCCUGUUUGAGUGUCAUUAAAUUAUCAACCUUUACUAGCUUUUGCUUUGCUAAAGGAUUGGAAGUGGGGGUAUUAUUUUGCAGGUUUUUGAUAAAGAAAUCUGCUCCCCUCAAAUGCAUUAGCGGUUUCCUUGUGGACUCGUCUAUUAGUGUAAUAAAAUAUAUCUACGCUGUUAGAUGUCUACGUCUUAAGGUUAUAUACUGCUUUAUAGUCGUCUUUUAAUAGGACAACAUUUUUUGACUCUUGACCUCAAAUCAGGUAGGACUACCCGCUGAACUUAA
rnacentral:misc_RNA from 1 species